AUCCAAUUGCUGGGUGCCUAUACUGCAGUCGAGCGCGAGAAGCCGGCGGACUCCUUCGGGAGGAAACCGGUGGAACGAGCGGCGGACGGGUGAGUAACACGUGGGCAACCUGCCGGACUGAUGGGAAUAACCCCGGGAAACCGGGGCUAAUGCCCAAUACGCCCUGACCUCGCCUGAGGUCAGCGGCAAAGCAGGGAUCUUCGGAUCCUUGCACAGUCCGAUGGGCCCGCGGCGCAUUAGCUAGUUGGAGAGGUAAGGGCUCCCCAAGGCGACGAUGCGUAGCCGACCUGAGAGGGUGAUCGGCCACACUGGGACUGAGACACGGCCCAGACUCCUACGGGAGGCAGCAGUAGGGAAUCAUCCGCAAUGGGCGAAAGCCUGACGGUGCAACGCCGCGUGAGUGAUGAAGGUUUUCGGAUCGUAAAGCUCUGUUGACAGGGAAGAACCCACGCCAGUCGAACAGGCUGGCGUGCUGACGGUACCUGUCCAGAAAGCCCCGGCUAACUACGUGCCAGCAGCCGCGGUAAUACGUAGGGGGCAAGCGUUGUCCGGAAUUAUUGGGCGUAAAGGGCACGCAGGCGGUUUCGUCAGUCCGAUGUGACAGGCCACGGCUCAACCGUGGAAGGCCAUUGGAAACUGCGAAACUUGAGGACAGAAGAGGAGAGUGGAAUUCCACGUGUAGCGGUGAAAUGCGUAGAUAUGUGGAGGAACACCAGUGGCGAAGGCGACUCUCUGGUCUGUACCUGACGCUGAGGUGCGAAAGCAUGGGGAGCAAACAGGAUUAGAUACCCUGGUAGUCCAUGCCGUAAACGCUGAGUGCUAGGUGUUAGGGGUUUCGAUACCCGUAGUGCCGAAGCUAACGCAUUAAGCACUCCGCCUGGGGAGUACGACCGCAAGGUUGAAACUCAAAGGAAUUGACGGGGCCCGCACAAGCGGUGGAGCAUGUGGUUUUAAUUCGACGCAACGCGAAGAACCUUACCAGAUCUUGACAUUCUUCCGCUACGCUUCGAGAGAGGCGGUUCCUCUUUCGGGGGACGGAAUGACAGGUGGUGGCAUGGUUGUCGUCAGCUCGUGUCGUGGAGAUGUGGGUAAGUCCCGCAACGAGCGCAUCCCCUAAUCUAGUUGCAGCAUUCAGUUGGCACUCUAAGUGGACUGCGGGUGACAACCGGAGGAAGUGGGGAUGACGUCAAAUCAUCAUGCCAGUAGGAUGCUACACCGUGCUACAUGGAAGUGGUACACUGCGGUGAGACGUAACUCUCGUGAAG
rnacentral:rRNA from 1 species